GACGAACGCUGGCGGCGUGCUUAACACAUGCAAGUCGAACGGAAAGGCCCCUUCGGGGGUACUCGAGUGGCGAACAGGUGAGUAACACGUGAGUAACCUGCCCUUGACUUCGGGAUAACUUCAGGAAACUGGGGCUAAUACCGGAUAGGAAUCCUUGCUGCAUGGUGGGGGUUGGAAAGCUUCGGCGGUUUUGGAUGGACUCGCGGCUUAUCAGCUUGUUGGUGGGGUAGUGGCUUACCAAGGCUUUGACGGGUAGCCGGCCUGAGAGGGCGACCGGCCACAUUGGGACUGAGAUACGGCCCAGACUCCUACGGGAGGCAGCAGUGGGGAAUAUUGCUCAAUGGGCGGAAGCCUGAUGCAGCAACGCCGCGUGCGGGAUGACGGCCUUCGGGUUGUAAACCGCUUUCAGCAGGGGCGAAGCUUGUGGUGACGGUACCUGCAGAAGAAGCACCGGCUAACUACGUG
rnacentral:rRNA from 1 species